GCUCAUCACAGUAGGCACAAGCAGAUCGGGCAUCAGCUGCCAGCUUGAUGUUCUCCUGCUUGACUUUCUGAAGCUCCAGC